rnacentral:rRNA from 1 species
CAGUCGCCACGGUAAUACGAAGGGUGCAAGCGUUACUCGGAAUUACUGGGCGUAAAGCGUGCGUAGGUGGUGGUUUAAGUCCGUUGUGAAAGCCCUGGGCUCAACCUGGGAAUUGCAGUGGAUACUGGGUCACUAGAGUGUAGUAGAGGAUAGUGGAAUUUCCGGUGUAGCAGUGAAAUGCGUAGAGAUCGGAAGGAACAUCUGUGGCGAAGGCGACUAUCUGGGCCAACACUGACACUGAGGCACGAAAGCGUGGGGAGCAAACAGGAUUAGAUACCCCCGUAGUCCCUGUCUCUUAACA